GGUUAAGCGACUAAGCGUACACGGUGGAUGCCCUGGCAGUCAGAGGCGAUGAAGGACGUGCUAAUCUGCGAAAAGCGCCGGCGAGGUGAUAUGAACCCUUGACCCGGCGAUGUCCGAAUGGGGAAACCCAGUGCAAUCCGUUGCACUAUCGUUAACUGAAUACAUAGGUUAACGAGGCGAACCGGGGGAACUGAAACAUCUAAGUACCCCGAGGAAAAGAAAUCAACCGAGAUUCCCCCAGUAGCGGCGAGCGAACGGGGAGCAGCCCGGAGUCUGAAUCAGCUUGUGUGUUAGUGGAACGGUCUGGAAAGUCCGACGGUACAGGGUGAUAGUCCCGUACACGAAAGCACACUUGCUGUGAACUCGAAGAGUAGGGCGGGACACGUGGUAUCCUGUCUGAAUAUGGGGGGACCAUCCUCCAAGGCUAAAUACUCCUGACUGACCGAUAGUGAACCAGUACCGUGAGGGAAAGGCGAAAAGAACCCCGGCGAGGGGAGUGAAAAAGAACCUGAAACCGUGUACGUACAAGCAGUGGGAGCCUACUUGUUAGGUGACUGCGUACCUUUUGUAUAAUGGGUCAGCGACUUAUAUUCUGUAGCAAGGUUAACCGUAUAGGGGAGCCGAAGGGAAACCGAGUCUUAACUGGGCGUUAAGUUGCAGGGUAUAGACCCGAAACCCGGUGAUCUAGCCAUGGGCAGGUUGAAGGUUGGGUAACACUAACUGGAGGACCGAACCGACUAAUGUUGAAAAAUUAGCGGAUGACCUGUGGCUGGGGGUGAAAGGCCAAUCAAACCGGGAGAUAGCUGGUUCUCCCCGAAAGCUAUUUAGGUAGCGCCUCGUGAACUCAUCUUCGGGGGUAGAGCACUGUUUCGGCUAGGGGGCCAUCCCGGCUUACCAACCCGAUGCAAACUACGAAUACCGAAGAAUGUUAUCACGGGAGACACACGGCGGGUGCUAACGUCCGUCGUGAAGAGGGAAACAACCCAGACCGCCAGCUAAGGUCCCAAAGUCAUGGUUAAGUGGGAAACGAUGUGGGAAGGCACAGACAGCCAGGAUGUUGGCUUAGAAGCAGCCAUCAUUUAAAGAAAGCGUAAUAGCUCACUGGUCGAGUCGGCCUGCGCGGAAGAUGUAACGGGGCUAAACCAUGCACCGAAGCUGCGGCAGCGACACUAUGUGUUGUUGGGUAGGGGAGCGUUCUGUAAGCCGUUGAAGGUGUGCUGUGAGGCAUGCUGGAGGUAUCAGAAGUGCGAAUGCUGACAUAAGUAACGAUAAAGCGGGUGAAAAGCCCGCUCGCCGGAAGACCAAGGGUUCCUGUCCAACGUUAAUCGGGGCAGGGUGAGUCGACCCCUAAGGCGAGGCCGAAAGGCGUAGUCGAUGGGAAACAGGUUAAUAUUCCUGUACUUGGUGUUACUGCGAAGGGGGGACGGAGAAGGCUAUGUCAGCCGGGCGACGGUUGUCCCGGUUUAAGCAUGUAGGCGGAGGUUCCAGGUAAAUCCGGUACCUUUUAACGCUGAGGUGUGAUGACGAGGCACUACGGUGCUGAAGUGAUAAAUGCCCUGCUUCCAGGAAAAGCCUCUAAGCAUCAGGUAACACGAAAUCGUACCCCAAACCGACACAGGUGGUCAGGUAGAGAAUACCAAGGCGCUUGAGAGAACUCGGGUGAAGGAACUAGGCAAAAUGGUGCCGUAACUUCGGGAGAAGGCACGCUGAUGUGUAGGUGAAGCCCCUGCGGGCGGAGCUGAAAUCAGUCGAAGAUACCAGCUGGCUGCAACUGUUUAUUAAAAACACAGCACUGUGCAAACACGAAAGUGGACGUAUACGGUGUGACGCCUGCCCGGUGCCGGAAGGUUAAUUGAUGGGGUUAGCUGUAAGGCGAAGCUCUUGAUCGAAGCCCCGGUAAACGGCGGCCGUAACUAUAACGGUCCUAAGGUAGCGAAAUUCCUUGUCGGGUAAGUUCCGACCUGCACGAAUGGCGUAAUGAUGGCCAGGCUGUCUCCACCCGAGACUCAGUGAAAUUGAACUCGCUGUGAAGAUGCAGUGUACCCGCGGCAAGACGGAAAGACCCCGUGAACCUUUACUAUAGCUUGACACUGAACACUGGUCCUUGAUGUGUAGGAUAGGUGGGAGGCUUUGAAGCGUGGACGCCAGUCUGCGUGGAGCCGUCCUUGAAAUACCACCCUUUAAUGGCUGGUGUUCUAACGUAGACCCGUAAUCCGGGUUGCGGACAGUGUCUGGUGGGUAGUUUGACUGGGGCGGUCUCCUCCCAAAGAGUAACGGAGGAGCACGAAGGUUGGCUAAUCCUGGUCGGACAUCAGGAGGUUAGUGCAAUGGCAUAAGCCAGCUUGACUGCGAGCGUGACGGCGCGAGCAGGUGCGAAAGCAGGUCAUAGUGAUCCGGUGGUUCUGAAUGGAAGGGCCAUCGCUCAACGGAUAAAAGGUACUCCGGGGAUAACAGGCUGAUACCGCCCAAGAGUUCAUAUCGACGGCGGUGUUUGGCACCUCGAUGUCGGCUCAUCACAUCCUGGGGCUGAAGUAGGUCCCAAGGGUAUGGCUGUUCGCCAUUUAAAGUGGUACGCGAGCUGGGUUUAGAACGUCGUGAGACAGUUCGGUCCCUAUCUGCCGUGGGCGCUGGAGAAUUGAGGGGGGCUGCUCCUAGUACGAGAGGACCGGAGUGGACGCAUCACUGGUGUUCGGGUUGUCAUGCCAAUGGCACUGCCCGGUAGCUAAAUGCGGAAGAGAUAAGUGCUGAAAGCAUCUAAGCACGAAACUUGCCCCGAGAUGAGUUCUCCCUGAGACUUUAAGUCUCCUGAAGGAACGUUAAAGACGAUGACGUUGAUAGGUCGGGUGUGUAAGCGCAGCGAUGCGUUGAGCUAACCGAUACUAAUGAACCGUGAGGCUUAACCUU
rnacentral:rRNA from 1 species